rnacentral:lncRNA from 1 species
GGAAAGCAUUCAGUUUUUCAGCAUUAAGUAUUGUUAUGGGCUAAAUUGUUUCCUCUCCAAAUUCACAUGUUGAAGUCCCAAACCCCAGUACUUCAGUAUGUAACUGUAUUUGAAGAUAAGGUUUUUAAAGAGGUAAUUAAGUUAAGAAGAGGUCUUUAGAAUGGGUCCUAAUCCAUUAUGAUUGGUAUCCUUACAAGAGGUGAAAAUUUUGGACACAGACACGCACAUGCACAGAAGAAAGACCACGUGAAGACAAAGGGAGAUGAUGGCCACCUAAAAGCCAAGGAGAGAGGCCUCAGAAUGAAGUCAACCCUGAAGACACCUUCAACUCAGACUCUAGCCUCCAAACUGUGAGAAAAUUAGUGUUGUUAAAGCCAUCCAGUCUGUGUUACUUUGCUAUGGCAGCCCUAGCAAACAAAUAGAAGUAUGAUGUUAGUUACAUAGUUUCAUAGAUACCUUUAUUAGGUUAAGACCAUUCCUUCUAUUCUUACUUUGCUGUUUGCUGGGAGUUUAUUGAGAAUUGAUAUUAAAUUUUGUUAAUUAUAUUUCCCUAUUGAAAUUAUCCAAAAUAUUUCUUUUUCUUUUUCCCUUUUUCUUUUCUUUUCUUUUUUUUUUUUUUUUUUUUGAGACAAGGUCUGGCUCUGUCACCCAGGACAGAGUACAGUGGCACAAUUUUGGCUCAUUGCAGCCUCAUCCUCCUGGACUCAAGCAAUCCUCCCACCUCAGCCUCAGAAGUAGCUGGGGACUACAGGCAUGCACCACUGGCCUGUCUAAUUUUUUUAUUUUUUCUUUUUUUGUAGAGUCAGGGCUUUGGCAUGUUGCCUAGGCUGGUCUUGCAAUCCUGAGCUCAGGUGAUCCACCUGCUUCAGCCUCCCAAAUAAAAAAUAUUUUUAUUUUAGUUUGUUAUUAAUUACAUUGAUUAAUUUUUGAAUUUUAAGUCAUCCUUGCAUUAUUGGGAUAGCUAUCAUUCUGUUGUGAUAUAUUAUCCUUUUGACUUGCUAACAUUGUAUUAAGAAUAUUUGCAUCUAUGUUUAUGAAAGACAUUGGUUGGUAGUAUACUACUUCAUAUAUAGCAUGAAAACCUCACAAUAACAUACUUUACUAUUUUCUCUCCUGAUCUCCUGG